rnacentral:tRNA from 1 species
GCGAGGGUAGCUCAGAGAGGGUAGAGCAGCUGACUUGUCCCGACAUAGUAUUUUUAAAGAAAAUAAGGUAGUCGGGAUCCUCGAUUUUGCCCAAAUCUCUGAUUUGGUACAAAAUCGGGAUAAUCAGCAGGUCGUGGGUUCGAAUCCCACCCUUCGCU